AAUGACUACGUGCGUGAUUAAGAUAAGCAGCAACGAUCAAACCUUGAUCCACAUUGAACGGCGAUAAGUGUUUUGAAACAAAAUGGGAAUACAAGAAUGUAUUGUAUGCAGGGCGGCGUGCGUAUACGAGCUGACUGGGUUUAAGUGAGGUUAGUUGGAACUUACUUCCACAAUAGGGCGUCGUUGUCGUGAUUUAAGCCAAGGAGAAGCCUGUAUUUUUACUCGGUAAUCCGACACCAGUUAUAGACGUUGAGGAUGCCAAGAUUUAAAAAAGAAAGCGUUACUAAGUGUGUACUGCUCUUAAAUGCGAACGGUACAUGGAAACCCACCCAUCAAACUAAAAAAGGUUACGUCUAAGUACUACGCAUGUUAAACACACACAACCAUGACAUACAUGUGCACUUUAAGUGUAAUGAAAAACAAACAAGGGUAAAGCCGGUUCGAUACUCAAACAAUGUUGACGAGAUGAAAAUACUACUAGUACCAUUAUUCGAAUCGGAAUACCUAAAGCGAUUCAGAAUACAUGAAGCGAGCUUAGUGGAUAGGGUUUUAAUUGCACACUUUAAUAAUAAGUGUUUAUUGAAAACAAUGACAUUACACGCGUUUUGCCUGAAGGAUACUGGUACAUGCAUGUUUCUUUGAUGUGACACAUUUUUGGCGACAUACUUUUAAACAUUUAACAUUUUUUCAUAAAAAACUUAAAGACCCAGUCUCCCUAUGAUGCAUGUGGAGCCACGGUGCGUGAUCCGGGAUCUACCGGGAUGAACCUUGGCUCCACCGGGGACGACCGGGAUGAACCGGGGACGACCGGGGAAAAUCGGGGCUCCACCGGGUGUGUGUUGCCAGUAAUGGUUGAAGAUAUGCCAAACAAAUUGUGCCUCUAUACAGACAGAUUUCAGGUCUCAAUUUCGACUUCAAAGGUCAACAUAUCACUGAUAUCAGGAAUUCUGUACAACUGUGGAACCAUGUAUGGUACGUGACCGCACAAUGUUGGUUGGCAAAAGGAUAUUGGAAUAAGCAAAGGGUCUCAACAUUACACAGUCAUUUCAACAUGUAGAGUCUUGUCAGCAAUGAUGAAGCAGUACAUCAGAUUUCCAGAAUCUCGUCAUGAGCUGAAGAUCAUUGCCUAUGGAUUUCAUCAAUGAUGUAGAAUGAUUGGACUGUUGAUGGAACCCACAGUGCAUGUCCUGCUUCAACAUCUGACACCUUGUUUAUCAGCAGUUUAGUUCUUCAAGCAGUCUGUGACAGUAACUUGAAAUGUUUGGACAUAUGCCCUGGAUGGCCAAGUUCUGUGCAUGAUGCCCAUUUAAAUAGGAACGGCCCAGUGGCGCAUUAAAUGGACAAUCUUUCGAAUGUUCUCGAGGAUUCAGCUUACCGCCUGACAAGAAAUCUUGCUUUUUGUGUCGUAUCGAGGCCAUGGACAUUUGUAUCAUUUGCAAAAGAUACUGCGAUAUUUGUGCCUUUGUUCAUGCUUUAUAGUUGAUUAACAAUUGGAAGCCAUAACCUGUUUUAUAGGAUGGUGUUAGUGGGACAAUGAAUUUUAUAAAGAUUUAAAGACUGGAAAAGAUAAUUAAAAGUCAAAAGAG